AGUCGUAACAAGGUUUCCGUAGGUGAACCUGCGGAAGGAUCAUUAACACUUUUUUCAACACUUUAUUGUGCCAAAAUCUCAACACCUGUCGAACCGAACAACAAACAUUCCAUUUUGAACUCCUCAUCGAGUCUUAUGUAAUUAAUAAUUGAACAAAACCAAAUCUAAAUAAAAAAAAACAAAACUAAACAUUAAAAAAAACAACUCUUAACAAUGGAUAUCUUGGUUCUCGC
rnacentral:misc_RNA from 1 species